rnacentral:sRNA from 1 species
GACCGCUCUCAUUCCCCUUUUCAGGAUUCUUCUAUGAGAGCCGAGGCCAUACGGACAGCCGGGUCCACUGCCGA